rnacentral:rRNA from 1 species
UGAGGAAUCUUCCGCAAUGGGCGAAAGCCUGACGGAGCGACACCGCGUGAAGGAUGAAGUCUUUUUUAGAUGUAAACUUCUGUUCUGAGGGACGAAAUUUUUUGACGGUACCUCAGGAGAAAGCAUCGGCUAACCCUGUGCCAGCAGCCGCGGUAAGACAGGGGAUGCAAGCGUUACUCGGAAUUACUGGGCGUAAAGCGUCUGCAGGUGUCUUAGGUAGUCUACGGUCAAAUGACGGAGCUCAACUCCGUCCGUGCUGUGGAAACUCCUAGGAUUGAGCCAUUCAGAGGCAUCUGGAAUGUCGUGUGGAGGGGUAAAAUCCGUAGAUCCACGAUGGAACGCCGAAAGCGAAGGCAGGAUGCUAGGAAUGUGCUGACACUCAGAGACGAAAGCGUGGGGAGCAAAGGGGAUUAGAUACCCCCGUAGUCCCUGAGCGGGCUGGCAAGGCGCAU